AGGAUUAAUUUUUAAACCUGAAAAUAACAAAAAAAAAAAAAAGAAUACCGUUUGUUCAUUGUGUUUUGUGUUCCAUUUUCAAAACCAGAACUGAAAUUGGUAAUUUGGUACGUACCAAAAAAGCGAAAAAUGGAUUCUACUGCUCACAAUCAAGAAUUCAAGAUAAUCUUGGGCUCAUCUUCUGUUGCCCGCAAAAAGAUUAUGGCUGAUAUGGGUUUCAAAUUCACUACUAUGUCUGCAGACAUAGAUGAAAAGGCGAUUCGCAAAGAAAAGGCCAAAGAUUUGGUUAUGACUCUUGCAGAGGCAAAGGCAGAUGCUAUAAUAGGUAAACUGGAGAAUCUUGGGAAUGAAGAGAAGGAUGCUAAGCCUACAGUUGUAGUAUCUGCUGAUACUGUAGAAAAUGCCCAACCAAAGCUUCAUGGGAAAGACGAGGCAGAACCUACAUUGCUAAUCACCUGUGACCAAGUUGUGGUGUAUGAAGGCGUGAUAAGGGAGAAACCCUCUAGCAAAGAGGAGGCACGUCAAUUCAUAAAAGGUUAUUCUGGUGGGCAUGCUGCCACAGUGAGUUCUGUUCUAGUAACAAACCUUAGCAAUGGAUCAAGGAAAGGGGGAUGGGACAAAGUUGAGAUUCAUUUCCAUGAUAUACCGGAAGAAGUUAUAGAAAAACUGAAGAAGCGCCUGUGCUUAACGUAGCAGGAGGGCUGAUUAUCGAACAUCCUCUGGUUGUGCCAUACGUUAAAGAAGUGGUGGGUGGAACGGAUAGUGUAAUGGGACUCCCAAAAGAUCUUACAAGAAGAUUAAUGAAGGAGGUUCUGUAAAUCAACUUCAUUGCAAUGACGAAGCAUUUAGUGAUAUUACUGAGCUAUAAACAUGAGCUUUCCUAGAUUGUAAGGAAUCUAAUCUUAUACUCCACUAUUGUAUUGGCAAUUUAAUGUUGUGACUGAAUAUGUUUCAUGAAAAUGUUCACUUUAAGUUGGUGGAAGUGCUAAUUAACCACUUUCAUGCUCUGUUUCAUA